rnacentral:lncRNA from 10 species
GGCUUGGGCAGGGGUGGCCAGCGGUGGCAAAGAAAUGUCUUGUCUUUUCUGCAAAAGGAAGAAGACUCAGCCUGGAUUUCAAAACUGAACACUGAAGUGGUUUGCAACAGUUACCUGGCUCUUGGCCUCAAUCCAGCUGGAUCAAACUGAGACCUGAAAAGAGAUAUUGACUCCUGUGGCAGUGGAAAGACCCAAGAAUGCCAGUCAAGAAGACAGAGAGUUUCUUUUGGAUUACCUUAUUUUGAACUAAUAAUGGAAUUAAACACAUUACGUGUGUGUGUGAGAGAGAGAGAGACAGAGAGGAAAAGAGUGAAAGGAAGAGAGAAUGGGAAGGAGGAGAGACAGAGAAAGAGAUAAAAAGAUACUGACCGAGCUUUAUCAUUACUGGAAGAAUACUGCAAAAAAUUAAGGAAACCAGAGGAGCAGCUGUUGAAAAAUGCGGUUAAAAAGGUGAUGGGUAUCUUUAAGAGCAGCUUAUUCCAAGCUUUGCUAG